rnacentral:rRNA from 1 species
AUUGAACGCUGGCGGCAGGCCUAACACAUGCAAGUCGAACGAGCGGCGGACGGGUGAGUAAUGUCUGGGAAACUGCCUGAUGGGGGGGGAUAACUACUGGAACCGGUAGCUAAUACCGCAUACCAUCAGAUUUACCCAGAUGGGCUUUGCUUGUGGGGGGGGGAACGGCUCACCUAGGCGACGAUCCCUAGCUGGUCGGAGAGGAGGACAGGCCACACUGGAAUGGAGACAGGGGCCAGCUGCCUCGGGGAGGCAGCAGAGGGGAAUAUGGGACAAGGGGCGAAAGCCGGAUGAAGCCAGGCCGGGGGUAGGAAGAAGGUCUGCGGGUUGUAAAGUAUUUUCAGAGGGGAGGCGGUACCCGAAGAAGAAGGACCGGCUAACUCCGUGCCAGCAGCCGCGGUAAUAC